AAUAGCGUAUAUUAAAGUUGUUGCGGUUAAAAAGCUCGUAGUUGGAUCUCAGUUCAAGCUAUGCGGUCCACUUGUUGGUGGCUACUGCUUAGCUGAACAUUUUACUGAGCUGCCUCUUGAUGCUCUUCACCGAGUGUCAUGAGCGAUCAGUACGUUUACUUUGAAAAAAUUAGAGUGCUCAAAGCAGGCGUAACGCCCGUAUAAUGUUGCAUGGAAUAAUGGAAUAGGACCUCGGUUCUAUUCUGUUGGUCUCCGGAACCUGAGGUAAUGAUUAAGAGGGACAGACGGGGGCAUUCGUAUUGCGGCGCUAGAGGUGAAAUUCUUGGACCGUCGCAAGACGAACUACAGCGAAAGCAUUUGCCAAGAAUGUUU
rnacentral:rRNA from 1 species